AGUGUAGAAAAUGUUCAUGUUACGGCCAUGAAAUCGGUGACAGGUGUUUACCCUAUGCUU
rnacentral:tRNA from 3 species